rnacentral:rRNA from 1 species
AACGAACGCUGGCGGCAGGCCUAACACAUGCAAGUCGAGCGGAUGAGGGGUGCUUGCACCCUGAUUCAGCGGCGGACGGGUGAGUAAUGCCUAGGAAUCUGCCCGAUAGUGGGGGACAACGUUUCGAAAGGAAAGCUAAUACCGCAUACGUCCUACGGGAGAAAGUGGGGGCUCUUCGGACCUCACGCUAUCGGAUGAGCCUAGGUCGGAUUAGCUAGUUGGUGGGGUAAAGGCUCACCAAGGCGACGAUCCGUAACUGGUCUGAGAGGAUGAUCAGUCACACUGGAAAUGAGACACCGUCCAGACUCCUAGGGGGGGGAGCAGUGGGGAAUAUUGGACAAUGGGCGAAAGCACGAUCCAGACAUGCCGCGUGUGUGCAGAAGGUCUUCGGAUUGUAAAGCACUUUAAGUCGGGAGGAAGGGCUGCAGGUUAAUACCUUGCAGCCUUGACGUUACCGACAGAAUAAGCACCGGCUAACUUCGUGCCAGCAGCCGCAGUAA